ACUCCUACGGGAGGCAGCAGUGGGGAAUAUUGCACAAUGGGCGCAAGCCUGAUGCAGCGACGCCGCGUGAGGGAUGAAGGCCUUCGGGUUGUAAACCUCUUUCAGUAGGGAAGAAGCGAAAGUGACGGUACCUGCAGAAGAAGCGCCGGCUAACUACGUGCCAGCAGCCGCGGUAAUACGUAGGGCGCAAGCGUUAUCCGGAAUUAUUGGGCGUAAAGAGCUCGUAGGCGGUUUGUCGCGUCUGCCGUGAAAGUCCGGGGCUUAACUCCGGAUCUGCGGUGGGUACGGGCAGACUAGAGUGCAGUAGGGGAGACUGGAAUUCCUGGUGUAGCGGUGAAAUGCGCAGAUAUCAGGAGGAACACCGAUGGCGAAGGCAGGUCUCUGGGCUGUAACUGACGCUGAGGAGCGAAAGCAUGGGGAGCGAACAGGAUUAGAUACCCUGGUAGUCCAUGCCGUAAACGUUGGGCACUAGGUGUGGGGGACAUUCCACGUUUUCCGCGCCGUAGCUAACGCAUUAAGUGCCCCGCCUGGGGAGUACGGCCGCAAGGCUAAAACUCAAAGGAAUUGACGGGGG
rnacentral:rRNA from 1 species